rnacentral:rRNA from 1 species
AAUCCUUUAACAAGGACCUAUUGGAGGGCAAGUCUGGUGCCAGCAGCCGCGGUAACUCCAGCUCCAAUAGCGUAUAUUAAAGUUGUUGCGGUUAAAACGUUCGUAGUUGAACUUGUGCUUCAUACGGGUAGUAUAACUAUAAUUGUAGUCUGUACUAUACCUUAUGUAUGUAAGCGUAUUACCGGUGGAGUUCUUAUAUAUAUUAAAUACUUGUAUUUAUAUGUAUUCCUCCUAUUUAAACCUGCUUCAGUGCUCUUCAUUGCUUGCUGUUGUAGGCCGGUACAAUUACUUUGAACAAAUUAGAGUGCUUAAAGCAGGCUCCAAAUGCCUGAAUAUUUUGUGCAUGGAAUAAUGAAAUAAGACCUCUGUUCUACUUUCAUUGGUUUUUAGAUCAAGAGGUAAUGAUUAAUAGAAGCAGUUUGGGGGCAUUAGUAUUACGACGCGAGAGGUGAAAUUCUUGGACCGUCGUAAGACUAACUUAAGCGAAAGCAUUCGCCAAAGAUGUUUUCAUUAAUCAAGAACGAAAGUUAGAGGUUCGAAGGCGAUCAGAUACCGCCCUAGUUCUAACCAUAAACGAUGCCAGCUAGCAAUUGGGUGUAGCUACUAUUAUGGCUCUCUCAGUCGCUUCCCGGGAAACCAAAGCUUUUGGGCUCCGGGGGAAGUAUGGUUGCAAAGCUGAAACUUAAAGGAAUUGACGGAAGGGCACCACCAGAAGUGGAGCCUGCGGCUUAAUUUGACUCAACACGGGAAAACUUACCAGGUCCGAACAUAAGCGUGUAAGACAGAUUGAUAGCUCUUUCUCGAAUCUAUGGGUGGUGGUGCAUGGCCGUUCUUAGUUCGUGGAGUGAUUUGUCUGGUUAAUUCCGAUAACGAACGAGACUCAAAUAUAUUAAACAGAUGCUUUCAGGAUUAUGGUGUUUGAAGCUUUUAUAGCCUUCAUUCAUGAAUGCAGUAACAUGUGUGAGUGUUUGAAUGUGUUUAUAAAGGUGGAGCCGUACCUGUUGGUUUGUCCCAUUAUAAGGACACUAGCUUCUUAAAUGGACAAAUUGCGUCUAGCAAUAAUGAGAUUGAGCAAUAACAGGUCUGUGAUGCCCUUAGAUGUCCUGGGCUGCGCGCGCGCUACAAUGAAAGUAUCAACGUGUAUUUCCUAGACCGAGAGGUCCGGGUAAACCGCUGAACCACUUUCAUGCUUGGGAUUGUGAACUGAAACUGUUCACAUGAACUUGGAAUUCCCAGUAAGUGUGAGUCAUUAACUCGCAUUGAUUACGUCCCUGCCCUUUGUACACACCGCCCGUCGCUACUACCGAUUGAAUUAUUUAGUGAGGUCUCCGGACGUGAUCACUGUAACGCCUUGCGUGUUACGGAUGUUUCGCAAAAGUUGACCGAACUUGAUUAUUUAGAGGAAGUAAAAGUC